rnacentral:rRNA from 1 species
UACGUAGGGGGCAAGCGUUGUCCGGACUUAUUGGGCGUAAAGAGCUCGUAGGCGGUUCCGUAAGUCGUGAAGUCAAAUCUCUGGGCUCAACCCAGAAUCGCUUCCGAUACUGCGGUGACUGGAGUCCGGUAGGGGAGUGUGGAAUUCCUGGUGUAGCGGUGAAAUGCGCAGAUAUCAGGAGGAACACCAACAGCGAAGGCAGCACUCUGGGCCGGUACUGACGCUGAGGAGCGAAAGCAUGGGGAGCGAACAGG